rnacentral:rRNA from 1 species
CAGCAGUAGCCGCGGUAAUACGUAGGGUGCAAGCGUUAAUCGGAAUUACUGGGCGUAAAGCGUGCGCAGGCGGUUAUAUAAGACAGAUGUGAAAUCCCCGGGCUCAACCUGGGAACUGCAUUUGUGACUGUAUAGCUAGAGUACGGCAGAGGGGGAUGGAAUUCCGCGUGUAGCAGUGAAAUGCGUAGAUAUGCGGAGGAACACCGAUGGCGAAGGCAAUCCCCUGGGCCUGUACUGACGCUCAUGCACGAAAGCGUGGGGAGCAAACAGGAUUAGAUACCCGCGUAGUCCCUGUCUCUUAUAC